GAGAUACCCUUAUGGGGCAGGACUUGCUUCAGUGGGGCUUUGGUGCUCACUGAGUCUGCCCCUUGAGAGUGUCACU
rnacentral:pre_miRNA from 1 species